rnacentral:rRNA from 1 species
UACGUAGGGGGCAAGCGUUGUCCGGAUUUACUGGGCGUAAAGAGCGUGUAGGCGGCCAAGCAGGUCCGUUGUGAAAACUGGAGGCUUAACCUCCAGACGUCGACGGAAACCGCGUGGCUAGAGUCCGGGAGAGGAGAGUGGAAUUCCUGGUGUAGCGGUGAAAUGCGCAGAUAUCAGGAGGAACACCAAUUGCGAAGGCAGCUCGCUGGGACGUUACUGACGCUGAGACGCGAAAGCGUGGGGAGCAAACAGG